CGAACCAUCCUGUUGAUUGAAGCUUGCUUCUUGAUUCAGAUUUUGGUGAGUGGCGGACGGGUGAGUAACACGUGGGUAACCUGCCCAAAAGUGGGGGAUAACAUUUGGAAACAAGUGCUAAUACCGCAUAACAACUGCUUUCACAUGAUCGCAGCUUGAAAGAUGGCUCUGCUAUCGCUUUUGGAUGGACCCGCGGCGUAUUAGCUAGUUGGUGAGGUAAUAGCUCACCAAGGCAAUGAUACGUAGCCGACCUGAGAGGGUAAUCGGCCACAUUGGGACUGAGACACGGCCCAAACUCCUACGGGAGGCAGCAGUAGGGAAUCUUCCACAAUGGGCGAAAGCCUGAUGGAGCAAUGCCGCGUGAGUGAAGAAGGUUUUCGGAUCGUAAAACUCUGUUGUUGAAGAAGAACAUGCGUGAGAGUAACUGUUCACGUACUGACGGUAUUCAACCAGAAAGCCACGGCUAACUACGUGCCAGCAGCCGCGGUAAUACGUAGGUGGCAAGCGUUGUCCGGAUUUAUUGGGCGUAAAGAGAAUGUAGGCGGUUUAUUAAGUUUGAA
rnacentral:rRNA from 1 species